CCUGACUGCUAUCGGAUUCAUACUAAGCCAUGCGAGUCUUUGUAGUAAUACAAGGCAGACGGCUCAGUAACACGUAGUCAACCUACCCUAUGGACAAGAAUAAUCUCGGGAAACUGGGCAUAAUUCUUGAUAGAUCAUAAUGCCUGGAAUGGUUUAUGGUUAAAAUGAUUCGUCGCCAUAGGAUGGGACUGCGGCCUAUCAGCUUGUUGGUGAGGUAAUGGCCCACCAAGGCGAUUACAGGUACGGGCUCUGAGAGGAGAAGCCCGGAGAUGGGUACUGAGACACGGACCCAGGCCCUAUGGGGCGCAGCAGGCGAGAAAACUUUGCAAUGUGCGAAAGCACGACAAGGUUAAUCCGAGUGAUUUCUGCUAAAGAGAUCUUUUGCCAGUCAUAAAACCACUGGUGAAUAAGGGGUGGGCAAGUUCUGGUGUCAGCCGCCGCGGUAAAACCAGCACCUCAAGUGGUCAGGAUGAUUAUUGGGCCUAAAGCAUCCGUAGCCGGCUUUGUUAGUUUUCGGUUAAAUCCAUGUGCUCAACGCAUGGGCUGCCGAAAAUACUGCAUGGCUAGGGAGUGGGAGAGGUAGACGGUACUCAGUAGGAAGGGGUAAAAUCCUUUGAUCUAUUGAUGACCACCUGUGGCGAAGGCGGUCUACCAGAACACGUUCGACGGUGAGGGAUGAAAGCUGGGGGAGCAAACCGGAUUAGAUACCCGGGUAGUCCCAGCUGUAAACGAUGCAGACUCGAUGAUGCAUUGGCAUAAUAGCCAGUGCAGUGUCGCAGGGAAGCCGUUAAGUCUGCCGCCUGGGAAGUACGUACGCAAGUAUGAAACUUAAAGGAAUUGGCGGGGGCGCACAAGGAAGGGGUGAAGCCUGCGGUUC
rnacentral:rRNA from 1 species